GAAGGCCUCAAGUACACAGCAAUCUCCAGCAAAAUCCCCUUAUCUCCAGCAAAAUCCCCUUACCUCCACUGCCAGCCCUUAAAUGAGGUCUGGGAAGGGGUGGAUCCUGGCUCCACCCCCUUCUGGUCACUCAUGUGCAUUGCUGCAUUGCACACACCUGAGCCCUCCUGGGUUAGCCCUGCCUUCCCACCAGGUGCUCAAUCACUGCUUCAAGCUGUGACUUAGCAUUUCCACUACAGAGCUUAAGCACCAAAAAUGCUGUGCGUUAUGCCUGUAAGCAGAGAAGGCUGUUGCUCCUUUCAGGAGGAAAAUGGGAUCAUUUUUUGUAAAACAAUUUGUGAGUCCCAGAAAAGGCAGCUGAAGGUCCCCAGGUGCACAGCCAAGUAAUAUUCCUCCAAUGAAAUAAGUUCCAUAUAACCAUACAUGGACAUACUGCUCUGCCCUGCCAUCACAGUGAGAAGCCUGUCCCCAUUCACUAUGACAUAACACCUCCUCCAGGCCCCUUAGCAGCACAGCCCAAGGGCUCUUUGCUCCUUGGGCCAUUUCUGAGUCAGGCAGUGUUCGGCCACUGCUGCCCACACUGCUUGCUGGUGGGCGUGCUGAGCAAAGUAACAGUGAACAAGCCCUUCACCUUCAGCAGCAGAACAUCUCCCCUUCAGAGCAAGCUGGACUGAAGAGGAUGCAGAUGUUUCCAGAUGUUGAGAACAACAACAAGAACAACAAAAAAAAAAACAGAAGG